rnacentral:rRNA from 5 species
GACUCUCGGCAACGGAUAUCUCGGCUCACGCAUCGAUGAAGAACGUAGCAAAAUGCGAUACUUGGUGUGAAUUGCAGAAUCCCGUGAACCAUCGAGUUUUUGAACGCAAGUUGCGCCCGAAGCCAUUUGGUUGAGGGCACGUCUGCCUGGGCGUCACGC